rnacentral:misc_RNA from 1 species
UGCUAGAGGACGUAAAGUGACAACUCUUCUAAAAUCAUUCAGUCUAGUGCAACGUGAUUGAAUUCGUUAUUAUUCUUUUACAUAUUUACGUGAAUAAAUAAUUGAGAUGGUGAGGCCCUCAGUUGCUAUACGAGGCAUUGCUGUAGUAAACCAGCUGCAUUGCUUUAGCAAAACCACUAUGACUUCUUUGCUGGUUCCUCCAGUAUCGGUACGCGGUAUGAAAUGCUUGGACCGCGAUGCAUUUACGACUACCAUUGAGAUUCCUUCGUUGAAAUUGUGCAAAGUUAAACUUCCAAAAUACAUGCCUAUAUUAAAAAAGUAUUUGCUUAAGCUAUAUUCUUUAAAACCGGUUCAAAAUGUGGAUGACGUUAAUACUAUUGUCUACCUUAAUCCAAACAUCAUUAAAAAAUUUGAAGAUAUCGACGAAGCUGACAGAAAAUUAUUGAUAGAUCAAUAUGAAUAUUCAGAUAAAACUCAGCUGACGUUAAAAUAUGAAAACUGGAAGUCGGAGGAUAUAUUAAAAUCCGUUCUUCCAGAGGACAUAGAAACGCCCACGUCAUUUAGUCAAAUAGGGCAUAUAGUACAUUUGAAUUUGCGUGAUACGCAGUUGCCUUACAAAAAUAUCAUCGGUCAAGUUUUCCUCGACAAGAUACCAACUGCACUUACAGUUAUUAAUAAAACAAAAAACAUAGACACAACAUUUCGUCAUUUUACUAUGGAAGUAUUGGCCGGUGAUGAAAAUACUAUAACAACAGUCAAAGAAAAUGGCAGAACGUAUCAAUUUGAUUUCGCUCAAGUCUAUUGGAAUCCUCGAUUAUCUACGGAACAUAUGAAUUUAUUGACAUUCAUGGAAAAUAACGAUGUCUUAUAUGACGUCUUUGCAGGAGUCGGACCUUUUGCCAUUCCUGCGGCUUGUAAAAAAGUUCGAGUAUUAGCUAACGAUUUAAAUCCUGAAUCAUACAAGUGGCUACAGAAGAAUGCAGAUAUUAACAAAACCAAACGUAACUUGCAAUGUUUCAAUUUGGAUGGUAGAGAUUUUUUAAGAGAUGUUGUUAAAACUGAUAUUCUCAAUAGGAGGGAAAAUAAAAUGACUGGUAAAGAACAUAUAGUUAUGAAUUUACCAGAUUCAGCUGUCGAGUUUUUAGAUAUACUUCCAAAUUUGUUUAGCCCGGAAGAAAUAGAAAAAGUUUCUUCUAAUCCACCUAUAAUACAUCUUUACUGUUUUGUUAGAUUACGAAAAAAUGAGAAUCCUUGGAACAACGCUAUAUUAUUAGUAGAGAAUAAACUUGGAUGCAAGUUGUACCAAGACUCGUUGGUCGACGUGCAUAACGUCAGAAACGUUUCUCCGAAGAAAGAAAUGAUGCGUGUAUCGUUUUUAUUGACUAAAAAUAUACUUAAAGGCGAGGAGCCAGCAAUGAAGAAAGCAAAACUAGAAGAAAAUACCGAUUCUUGUAAUUAAUUGUAAUGAUAAAUAAUAGAGAUUACUGUUUAAUUGUUGUACAGAAUAAAGAACGACGAUGAAAAAGAAAAACAACAAAGGCUCGCAUAAGACCAAAACUGUAUUUCAAUUACCAACGACGCGUAGCAUUAAACUGAAAGUCAAAGCUGAGAAAAUGGCAAAAAAACUGAAAAAUUUAGAUUUGAAAGCAAAUAAAUCGACGACCAAAACAACUAAAAAGACGAAAGAUAAAAAGUCGCUCACUGACAAAACAUUGAAAGACUUGUGUCAAGAAGUAGUCAUAGCAGCCCUUAAGAAGAAUAGUAAUACUGGAAAAGUAAAGAAGCAAAA